UCUUCAUCUCUCUCUCACUUUCUCUCUCUCUAACUCUCUCUAUAUCAGCAAACCCUCUGCGGCCAGAUCUGAUCCUCCCACCGCCUUGCGUCGCUCGCCACUGAUCCCCCACCGCCGCUCCAUCACCGACGUUUGCCGAUGCUUCGCCACUGACGUUCGCCGCUAUUCCGCCACCGUCGUUCGCUUUGCGCCGCUGCUCAGCCACCUCCGUGCUCCGCUACUCAGUCACCGCCUUGUGCCGCUGCUCCACCACCGACGCUCGCCGCUGCUCCACCACAGCCAUUCGCCGCCGCCUCGAGCCGUCGGUCGCUGCUCCUCCCACCGCCUCUGUGGAAAUAACUGCGAUCUAUGCUCUCAUUAUUCAGACCAUAAAUUCUCGUAUUUCGUGUAAUUUCAGAUACCCAAGAUUCAUGUUAGAGGUGGAAUGCCAAUUGCAUUUGCAGAUUUUGAGGUUUUGCUUUGUAUAACAUUAUGAGAUGCUAAGGAUAAGGCGCAGAGAAGUGCCAUGUAAAGUUGCAUUCAUGCUACAGUACUCCAAACUUAUGUCACUUAUAUAACUAUAGAUAACUAUAGUCAUGUGUAGUAACAUAUAGUUAUAUGUAUGCUAUGCAGUUUUUAAUGUAUAGUAAUGCGUGUUUAUGCUUUGAUGCUUAUAUGCACGUAAUUGUGUUUUUUUUUUGGUUAGUUGAUUUAUAAUAUCAAGAUUAAAAUUGUGAA